rnacentral:rRNA from 1 species
GGAGCGUUCUGUAAGCCUGCGAAGGUGUGCUGUGAGGCAUGCUGGAGGUAUCAGAAGUGCGAAUGCUGACAUAAGUAACGAUAAAGCGGGUGAAAAGCCCGCUCGCCGGAAGACCAAGGGUUCCUGUCCAACGUUAAUCGGGGCAGGGUGAGUCGACCCCUAAGGCGAGGCCGAAAGGCGUAGUCGAUGGGAAACAGGUUAAUAUUCCUGUACUUGGUGUUACUGCGAAGGGGGGACGGAGAAGGCUAUGUUGGCCGGGCGACGGUUGUCCCGGUUUAAGCGUGUAGGCUGGUUUUCCAGGCAAAUCCGGAAAAUCAAGGCUGAGGCGUGAUGACGAGGCACUACGGUGCUGAAGCAACAAAUGCCCUGCUUCCAGGAAAAGCCUCUAAGCAUC